GACAACGUGACCGAGUGGUUAAGGUGACCGCCUACUAAGCGGUUGGGCUAUGCCCGCACAGGUUCGAACCCUGUCGUUGUCG